AACUAGAACAGAACAUUUUCUGUAGAACGUAAAACAUAGAGCUUGAAACUUUGUCGAACCAGGCAGCAGAUGAAAUGUAGAUUUUAUUUUUACUUUUUGAAUAAUUUGUUGAAAUGGCUCGCAAUUAAAGUAGAUUUUUAAUCAAUAUGAAAAGAUAAAAACUUUAUUUGCAGCUUUAAAACGGUUUCCCUUUAGCUAUGAUAUUUUUAACACGCUUUUUUCUGCAACAUUUUAUGAAGUGAUAUUGAUAUAUGAGCGAAUCGGAUGCUGCAUUAGCUGAUUAAAAAACAUUACUUUGUAAACUUGCACAAAAGUUUGAACUGUACCUUUCCAGGGCUUCGACAUUUCAUGAAUUUCUUAGCCAAAAAGAUAAACAGUUUGUAUGUGAUACUUGCAAUUUGAAUGCAGUUGGGGAUUUGGUUCUCAAUUAUAGCAGUAGCAAAUGUGACUGGAAGACUUAUGCUUAGUGCAACCCUGCAGAAGGAUACAGCAGAAAUUUAGUUGUUGAAAAACCUGGUCAAUACAAUGCCUUGAUUCUGUGCUGGCAAAAUCCACGCCCACGAAGAGAUCAAACUGCUUUCUAAAGCUGUCUCGUUCUGUAGCCGGCUGCAACCAGGUGCUCUCUUCUAUGUCAGCUAAAGCAAGUUGGCGCCCAAGCUGGUUCUUCAAGGUAGUCUAAAAGAGGAGCAUUUUGAUUGGCCAACUAAAGCAGGUCAGAUGUCAGCGAGAGAAGAACAAAUCUACUCUGCUAAUGAGCUAAACCACAUUACUGACGAGAAAGGUUUACACCGUGUUACCAACAACAGCCCAAAAGAAAUGGCCGUCUCUCUCCACGUCUAGAUACCUUCCUUCAAGCAAUGCUCCUGGUUUGUAGAAGACACGGGUCUGGAAGUUCGUGCAGAAAUGAUGUUUGCGUCAAUUCAUGGAAAGCCAACGGGUGAUUACAACACUUUGGCUGGACCUGGCACUGGGCAGUAUGUUUGCACCUCAACAGGCACUGGUAAUGGCAAGGAGCAGUAUGUUCGCACUGAACCUCAUUGUUGUCAGGGCUGAAUGUCACGUCUACAUAUUUUCUUUCAAUAUAUUUUCUUUCAGAUUUGAUAGUCAACUAUUUUUCUUUAUCAUUUUGACAUACACAAAUGUAUUUUGCGUUGCUGUUAUAUCUAAUAUAUUCUUGUGUAUAAUCAAACUAUUUGUUUUUAAUCAAAAUUUGAACGUUAAGAAAGUCAGAAUGUAUCAUUAAAUUAAUUUGGUUAUUUCAUGCUCAAUAGUAAUAAAAUUAUUUCAUAACUCA